rnacentral:rRNA from 1 species
GACGAACGCUGGCGGCGUGCUUAACACAUGCAAGUCGAACGGAAAGGCCCUGCUUUUGUGGGGUGCUCGAGUGGCGAACGGGUGAGUAACACGUGAGUAACCUGCCCUUGACUUUGGGAUAACUUCAGGAAACUGGGGCUAAUACCGGAUAGGAGCUCCUGCUGCAUGGUGGGGGUUGGAAAGGUUCGGCGGUUGGGGAUGGACUCGCGGCUUAUCAGCUUGUUGGUGGGGUAGUGGCUUACCAAGGCUUUGACGGGUAGCCGGCCUGAGAGGGUGACCGGCCACAUUGGGACUGAGAUACGGCCCAGACUCCUACGGGAGGCAGCAGUGGGGAAUAUUGCACAAUGGGCGGAAGCCUGAUGCAGCAACGCCGCGUGCGGGAUGACGGCCUUCGGGUUGUAAACCGUUUUCGCCUGUGACGAAGCGUGAGUGACGGUAAUGGGUAAAGAAGCACCGGCUAACUACGUG